rnacentral:rRNA from 1 species
UAUGCUGACAUGAGUAACGAUAAAACGGGUGAAAAACCCGUUCGCCGUAAACCCAAGGUUUUCCGGGUAAAGGUAAUCUUCCCGGAGUUAGUCGGCCCCUAAGGCGAGGCUGAAAGGCGUAGCUGAUGGGAAACGUGUUAAUAUUCACGUACUUGUGUGUUCGCGCGAUGAAGGGACGCAGGAAGAUAGGCAAGCCGGGCGCUGGUUGUCCCGGUGCAAGCGUGUAGGGAUGAGGAGCUGGCAAAUCCGCUUCUCUCUAUCCUGAGACGCGAGUCCGUGCCCGCAAGGGCUGAAGUUGUCGAGUCUAUGCUGCCUAGAAAAGCUUCUAAGUAUAGGACACGCAAACCGUACCGGAAACCAACUCAGGUGGGUGGGAUGAAUAAUCCAAGGCGCUCGAGAGAACUCUGGCCAAGGAACUCGGCAAAAUAACCCCGUACCUUCGGAAGAAGGGGUGCUUUUUAGGGUGAAGCGAUUCACUCUGUCGAGCCCUGAAAAGCCGCAGAGAAAUGGUGGUGGCGACUGUUUACUAAAAACAUAGGUCUGUGCCAAGUCGUAUAGACGACGUAUACGGACUGACGCCUGCCCGGUGCUGGAAGGUUAAAAGGAGGAGUCAGCGCAAGGGAAGCUCCGAAUUGAAGCCCCAGUAAACGGCGGCCGUAACUAUAACGGUCCUAAGGUAGCGAAAUUCCUUGUCGGGUAAGUUCCGACCUGCACGAAUGGCGUAACGAUCUCCACACUGUCUCGGCCAGAGACUCGGUGAAAUUGAAGUCGCGGUGAAAAUGCCGUGUACCCGCAGAAAGACGGAAAGACCCUGUGCACCUUUACUAUAGCUUGACAUUGGGAUUUGAGCCUGCAUGUGUAGCAUAGGUGGGAGCCUGAGAACCCUGUACGCCAGUAUGGGGGGAGGCAACGUUGAAAUACCACCCUUGUUUGUUCAGGUCCCUAACUCUUCGCCGUUACCCGGUAAGAGGACAGUGUCUGGUGGGUAGUUUGACUGGGGCGGUCGCCUCCCAAAAUGUAACGGAGGCAUGCAAAGGUUCCCUCAGGCUGAUUGGAAACCAGCCGUCGAGUGCAAACGCAGAAGGGAGCUUGACUGCAAGAGAGACAUCUCGAGCAGGUACGAAAGUAGGUGUUAGUGAUCCGGUGAUCCCGAAUGGAAGGGUCAUCGCUCAUUGGAUAAAAGGUACGCCGGGGAUAACAGGCU